rnacentral:rRNA from 1 species
AGCGAACGCUGGCGGCAGGCCUAACACAUGCAAGUCGAACGAAGCCUUCGGGCUUAGUGGCGGACGGGUGAGUAACACGUGGGAACGUACCUUUUGGUUCGGAACAACUCAGGGACACUUGAGCUAAUACCGGAUGAGCCCUUAGGGGGAAAGAUUUAUCGCCGAAAGAGCGGCCCGCGUUAGAUUAGCUAGUUGGUGAGGUAAAGGCUCACCAAGGCCACGAUCUAUAGCUGGUCUGAGAGGAUGAUCAGCCACACUGGGACUGAGACACGGCCCAGACUCCUACGGGAGGCAGCAGUGGGGAAUCUUGCGCAAUGGGCGAAAGCCUGACGCAGCCAUGCCGCGUGAAUGAUGAAGGUCUUAGGAUUGUAAAAUUCUUUUACCAGGGACGAUAAUGACGGUACCUGGAGAAAAAGCCCCGGCUAACUUCGUGCCAGCCGCCGCGGUAACAC